rnacentral:rRNA from 1 species
AUUGAACGCUGGCGGCAGGCUUAACACAUGCAAGUCGAACGAGUGGCGGACGGGUGAGUAAUGCUUGGGAAUCUGGCUUAUGGAGGGGGAUAACGAAGGGAAACUGUCGCUAAUACCGCGUACCAUAGGAUGAGCCAAAGUGGGAUUAGGUAGUUGGUGGGGUAAUGGCCAACCAAGCCGACGCUCUCUAGCUGGUCUGAGAGGAUGACCACCAAAACCGGGACUGAGACACGGCCCGGACUCCUCCGGGGGGCAGCAGUGGGGAAUAUUGCACAAUGGGGGCAACCUGACGCAGCCAUGCCGCUUGAUUGAAGAAGGCCUUCGGGUUGUAAAGUUCUUUCGGUGACGAGGCGGUAAUCACAGAGGAAGCACCGGCUAACUCCGUGCCAGCAGCCGCGGUAAUAC